rnacentral:rRNA from 1 species
AGUAGGGUGGCGUGCCGGUGCGCGUUGAAGGCCAAGACGUGAGUCAGGCUGGAGCCGCCGGUAGUGCAGAUCUUGGUGGUAGUAGCAAGUACUCUGGUGAACCAACCUGGAGCUGUGAGGUCUGGAUUAGGGUUCCAUGUCAACAGUGAUUGAACAUGGGUGAGUCGAUCCUAAGCCAGCUGUGAAUGCAGUGACAUCCCGACAACGGGGACGCCGCGUACGUGCCCUGGCACUUACACCCCCAUACCAAAGCUCUCGUGUAUCUCUCUCUUUUUUUUUUCAAACAUGCUGUCUGGUACGGGAAAUGCGCACACACGCUGAUCGCUACGGAGCGUGAGUGUGUGCGCUUGUCUGAUUACGCUCAUAAGCGUUGUGGAUCUGUCUAUAAAAGUCGCGCACGCACGGUGAUCGCUAAGCAGUGUGAGUGCGUGUGCGCGCGUAACAAGAGAGAGAGAGGGAGAAAGAGAGUGGGUGAGCGUGAGUUGCCCCUGGCAUGAGUCCCCUGCGUCUGGUUCUAUGUCCGGCGAAAGGGAAUGGGGACUUUGUUCCUUGACCGGUCCCGGCACCCUCGAUUGGCUUUGCCAAUCAAUGGUCCAUGCAAAUGGAACCAGGCCACAGCCGUCGGCAGUCGCCCGAGGAAGAGUUUUCUUUUCUGCUUAACGCACGAGGUCAUCCCUGGAAACAGUUCGGCUGGCGAAAGGGUGCCCCGUUGCGGCAGAGCGCCACGACUGUCGUGCGCGUCUCGGUGUUCCUGCUGAUCCGUGAAAACGUGGUCGAGGGGAGUGCUCUUGUAUCAACGAAACGUCCGACAAGUUCGGGACGGACCGUACCCUAUAUCCGCAUCUGGUCUCCAAGGUUCGUAGCCUCUGCAGAGUCAGACACAUGUAGGUAAGGGAAGUCGGCAAACUCGAUCCGUAACUUCGGGAAAAGGAUUGGCUCUGAGGGCCGAGCUGGGCCGGGCCUUGCCUGCAAAGCAGUACCUAUAGUGACCGGAGUUUCAGGAGUGCGAGGGGCUCUAGUAGCUGCUUGUGCGUGUGUGUGCGUUCGCGCGUGCGCGCGCGUGUGGGCACGAACGAGUCCACCGCUCCGCUCCAACCACGAACGGCUGUGACGGCAAGGGCUCUGGGCGGGAGCGAUCAAUCCGUUUGCCUCCAGCUCGUCUGGGUGGCGGCGGUGCUCCGUCUGACCCAUACGGCUCCAGCGG